rnacentral:rRNA from 1 species
CCUACGGGGGGCAGCAGUGGGGAAUAUUGGGCAAUGGGCGCAAGCCUGACCCAGCAAUGCCGCGUGAAGGAAGAAGGCUUUCGGGUUGUAAACUUCUUUGACAGGGGAAGAGCAGAAGACGGUACCCUGAAAACAAGCCACGGCUAACUACGUGCCAGCAGCCGCGGUAAUACGGAGGUGGCAAGCGUUGUCCGGAUUUACUGGGGGGAAAGGGCGUGUAGCCGGGAAGGCAAGUCAGAUGUGAAAUCUGGAGGCUCAACCUCCAAAUUGCAUUUGAAACUGUUUUUCUUAAGUGCUGGAGAGGCAGACGGAAUUCCUUGUGUAGCGGUGAAAUGCGUAGAUAUAAGGAGGAACAGCAGUGGCGAAGGCGGUCUGCUGGACAGCAACUGACGGUGAGGCGCGAAAGCGUGGGGAGCAAACAGGAUUAGAUACCCUUGUAGUC